rnacentral:rRNA from 1 species
UACAGAGGUCUCAAGCGUUGUUCGGGAUUCAUUGGGCGUAAAGGGUGCGUAGGUGGCGUCGUAAGUCAGGUGUGAAAUUUCGGAGCUUAACUCCGAAACUGCAUUUGAUACUGCGGUGCUUGAGGACUGGAGAGGAGACUGGAAUUUACGGUGUAGCAGUGAAAUGCGUAGAGAUCGUAAGGAAGACCAGUGGCGAAGGCGGGUCUCUGGACAGUUCCUGACACUGAGGCACGAAGGCCAGGGGAGCAAACGGG